rnacentral:tRNA from 1 species
UAGCUCAGUUGGUAGAGUGCUUGCCUUGCAUGCACAAAGCCCUGGGUUAAAUUCCCAG